GUGAAACUCUGGCAGACUCUUCACCUUUGGAAUGAUGUAUCCUGUAUCGUGUGAGAAAAGAUAAAAUAGUUUACAAUGGGCCUACUUCAACACUAAAUUUGAAUAAUUUCAGCAAUGGAGCCUCCAUGAUAUUACGUAGCAAGAAGUUUUCAUUUUCCACAUCAAAAGUGCAAGCUGUGAUCUUUUCUAUCCUCUCCCAGUGUCGAGGCAUCAUAGCCUGGAUUUUUUAUAGUGUUCAAGUUCUGCUGCUGGACCGAUGUCAUCUGCCUCUUUUCUCAUUUGUUCACUCUCUGUAAGCACCUGUGAACAAAACACUUA